rnacentral:rRNA from 1 species
AGUGAACGCUGGCGGUAGGCCUAACACAUGCAAGUCGAACGGCAGCACAGUAAGAGCUUGCUCUUACGGGUGGCGAGUGGCGGACGGGUGAGGAAUACAUCGGAAUCUACUUUUUCGUGGGGGAUAACGUAGGGAAACUUACGCUAAUACCGCAUACGACCUACGGGUGAAAGCAGGGGAUCUUCGGACCUUGCGCGAUUGAAUGAGCCGAUGUCGGAUUAGCUAAUUGGCGGGGUAAAGGCCCACCAAGGCGACGAUCCGUAGCUGGUCUGAGAGGAUGAUCAGCCACACUGGAACAGAGACACGGUCCAGACUCCUACGGGAGGCAGCAGUGGGGAAUAUUGGACAAUGGGCGCAAGCCUGAUACAGCCAUACCGCGUGGGUGAAGAAGGCCUUCGGGUUGUAAAGCCCUGUUGUUGGGAAAGAAAAGCAGCAGGUUAAUACCCCGCUGUUCUGACGGUACCCAAAGAAUAAGCACCGGCUAACUUCGUG